rnacentral:rRNA from 1 species
AAUAAACGCUGGCGGCGUGCCUAACACAUGCAAGUCGAGCGAGAAAGCUCCUUCGGGAGUUAGUAAAGCGGCGAACGGGUGAGCAACGCGUGAGAAUCUACCCUUUAGUGAAGAAUACCCUCGAGAAAUCGAGGCUAAUACUGCAUAAGUCCCUUCGGGGAGAAAGAUGGCCUCUUUGCUAUCGCUAAAGGAUGAGCUUGCGUACUAUUAGCUAGUUGGCGGGGUAACGGCCCACCAAGGCGAUGAUGGUUAACCGGCCUGAGAGGGUGUACGGUCACACUGGAACUUAGACACGGUCCAGACUCCUACGGGAGGCAG